GCAACUCUGGGAUGUUCGUCAGUGAGUCUAUAUCCCUGCCGAUACUUAUAUCCCCGGAUGCGUUCUGUAUAUUUAGAGUGUAUGCCUAUCUUCGUGUAGGAAACCCGUGAAGUAUACGUCGCGUCCACCUUGAACUCAUCGGGUUCAGGGUAACGACAUGCAACGGCAUCUCCGGAGUGCU
rnacentral:other from 1 species